rnacentral:rRNA from 1 species
UACGUAGGUGGCAAGCGUUAUCCGGAUUUACUGGGUGUAAAGGGCGUGUAGGCGGGUCUGCAAGUCAGAUGUGAAAUCUCCGGGCUUAACUCGGAAGUGUCAUCUGAAACUACGGAUCUUGAGUACUGGAGAGGAUAGUGGAAUUCCUAGUGUAGCGGUAAAAUGCGUAGAUAUUAGGAGGAACACCAGUGGCGAAGGCGGCUAUCUGGACAGUAACUGACGCUGAGGCGCGAAAGCUGGGGUAGCGAACCGGAUUAGAUACCCGCGUA